AUGUCAGGAGGACAUCUUCUCAACAAUCCCUUAUACCUCUUCUAAGCUUCAUACAAGGAUUUUUCCUCUUGUUGCUUGAAAGUUUGCACCUCUAUUCUAAGCUU